UGAAAUCGUGUCUUGUGCUGAAGAUUUCGUCUUUUUUGCGUUACAAAUUGGGAAAACGACAGAUAACGUUGACUCAUAACGAGACGGAUCCUUCACUGGUUUCAAAGGUUCUCCGGGUCCAGUCUCUGGUCUGUCCUGGUUAUGCUGUCCAGCAGAUUGUCCCAUAGCCCAGGUGGACAGGACAGCAGGAGCCUGAAGUUUGCAAAGAGGAGAUAUCAACUUCAGCCCAAUAAUUCUGUAGAAUUAUAGUAGAAACUUUAAAACUGUUUGUGGAUUGAUUGAUGUUAACUUAUGCCCCAUUGUAACAAUAUAAUAGGGACAAGCCAUCAUGAAUGUCAGUUUGUUGAGAAUAUUUUGUACACAUCUUACCUGGAAGAGACAGCGUGCUACCGGUAUACUAGUAGUAUUUUGUUGUCCAUCUUUGUUAGGCUCUGGGAUCUAUGAGACAAGACAUUGCUUGUAUUAUUACUUAAACAGCCUUUUUUUAGUAAUGCUUUAACAUAUCAAGCUUUUUUGAUACUGGCAUGAAACGUUGAUGAAUGUAGUAGCAGUUCAUCAUUUUUAUUGUUAGGCCACAGCAAACAUGUGCAUUGAUUUUCGCCUGAUUUUCUACAAGAACCAGUGUAUGUGUAUAUUGUAUAG